UACGUAGGGUGCGAGCGUUAAUCGGAAUUACUGGGCGUAAAGCGUGCGCAGGCGGUUAUAUGAGACAGUUGUGAAAUCCCCGGGCUCAACCUGGGAACUGCAUCUGUGACUGUAUAGCUAGAGUCCGGUAGGGGACCACGGAAUUCCUGGUGUAGCGGUGAAAUGCGCAGAUAUCAGGAGGAACACCGGUGGCGAAGGCGGUGGUCUGGGCCGGCACUGACGCUGAGGGAGCGAAAGCGUGGGUAGCAAAACAGG
rnacentral:rRNA from 1 species